UCUCUGGUAGUAUAUCGGAUAGUACACCCGCCUGUCAUUCAUUGCUUCUGAUGUUCGGUGCGCGGGAGAGCGGGGUUCGACUCCCCGCCAGAGAG